GUCCCGUUGGUCAAGUGGUUAAGACGUCGCCCUCUCAAGGCGGAAUCAGGGGUUCAACUCCCCUACGGGAUA
rnacentral:tRNA from 1 species